UACGGGGGGGGCAAGCGUUGUUCGGAAUUACUGGGCGUAAAGGGCUCGUAGGUGGCCAACUAAGUCAGACGUGAAAUCCCUCGGCUUAACCGGGGAACUGCGUCUGAUACUGGAUGGCUUGAGUUCGGGAGAGGGAUGCGGAAUUCCAGGUGUAGCGGUGAAAUGCGUAGAUGUCUGGAGGAACACCGGUGGCGAAGGCGGCAUCCUGGACCGAGAUUGACGCUGAGGCGCGAAAGCCAGGGGAGCAAACGGG
rnacentral:rRNA from 1 species